rnacentral:rRNA from 1 species
GACUUCUGGUGUAAUGUGCCUGGCCUGUGAGUGCCGGUGCGCGUUUACCAUCCUUCUGGGGAACGGGUCUACCCUUUACUGUAUCCAGAUCAUUUACUUUGAAAAAAUUAGAGUGUUUAAAGCAAGCAAUUGCCAUGAACACAUUAGCAUGUAAUAAUAAUCUAGGACUUCGGUUCUAUUUUGUUGGUUUCUAUAACUGAAGUAAUGAUUGAUAGGAUAGUUGGGGAUGCUAGUAUUGGCCCGUCAGAGGUGAAAUUCUUGGAUUCGGUCAAGACUAACUUAUGCGAAAGCAUU